rnacentral:rRNA from 1 species
UACGGAGGGUGCAAGCGUUAUCCGGAUUUACUGGGUUUAAAGGGUGCGUAGGUGGGCAGUUAAGUCAGCGGUGAAAUCUCUGGGCUUAACCCAGAAACUGCCAUUGAUACUAUCUGUCUUGAAUAUCCUGGAGGUGAGCGGAAUAUGUCAUGUAGCGGUGAAAUGCUUAGAUAUGACAUAGAACACCAAUUGCGAAGGCAGCUCGACUACGGGGUUAUUGACACUGAGGCACGAAGCGUGGGGAUCAAACAGG